GACGGAGGAUGCAAGCGUUAUCCGGAAUGAUUGGGCGUAAAGCGUCCGCAGGUGGCAGUUCAAGUCUGCUGUCAAAGACCGGGGCUUAACUUCGGAAAGGCAGUGGAAACUGAACAGCUAGAGUAUGGUAGGGGCAGAGGGAAUUCCUGGUGUAGCGGUGAAAUGCGUAGAUAUCGGGAGGAACACCAGUGGCGAAGGCGGGCACCUGGGCUAACACUGACGCUGACGCGCGAAAGCUAGGGGAGCAAACAGG
rnacentral:rRNA from 1 species